rnacentral:rRNA from 1 species
AGAGUUUGAUCAUGGCUCAGGACGAACGCUGGCGGCGUGCCUAAUACAUGCAAGUAGAACGCUGAAGAGAGGAGCUUGCUCUUCUUGGAUGAGUUGCGAACGGGUGAGUAACGCGUAGGUAACCUGCCUUGUAGCGGGGGAUAACUAUUGGAAACGAUAGCUAAUACCGCAUAACAAUGGAUGACCCAUGUCAUUUAUUUGAAAGGGGCAAAUGCUCCACUACAAGAUGGACCUGCGUUGUAUUAGCUAGUAGGUGAGGUAACGGCUCACCUAGGCGACGAUACAUAGCCGACCUGAGAGGGUGAUCGGCCACACUGGGACUGAGACACGGCCCAGACUCCUACGGGAGGCAGCAGUAGGGAAUCUUCGGCAAUGGGGGCAACCCUGACCGAGCAACGCCGCGUGAGUGAAGAAGGUUUUCGGAUCGUAAAGCUCUGUUGUAAGUCAAGAACGAGUGUGAGAGUGGAAAGUUCACACUGUGACGGUAGCUUACCAGAAAGGGACGGCUAACUACGUGCCAGCAGCCGCGGUAAUACGUAGGUCCCGAGCGUUGUCCGGAUUUAUUGGGCGUAAAGCGAGCGCAGGCGGUUUGAUAAGUCUGAAGUUAAAGGCUGUGGCUCAACCAUAGUUCGCUUUGGAAACUGUCAAACUUGAGUGCAGAAGGGGAGAGUGGAAUUCCAUGUGUAGCGGUGAAAUGCGUAGAUAUAUGGAGGAACACCGGUGGCGAAAGCAGCUCUCUGGUCUGUAACUGACGCUGAGGCUCGAAAGCGUGGGGAGCGAACAGGAUUAGAUACCCUGGUAGUCCACGCCGUAAACGAUGAGUGCUAGGUGUUGGAUCCUUUCCGGGAUUCAGUGCCGCAGCUAACGCAUUAAGCACUCCGCCUGGGGAGUACGACCGCAAGGUUGAAACUCAAAGGAAUUGACGGGGGCCCGCACAAGCGGUGGAGCAUGUGGUUUAAUUCGAAGCAACGCGAAGAACCUUACCAGGUCUUGACAUCCCGAUGCUAUUUCUAGAGAUAGAAAGUUACUUCGGUACAUCGGUGACAGGUGGUGCAUGGUUGUCGUCAGCUCGUGUCGUGAGAUGUUGGGUUAAGUCCCGCAACGAGCGCAACCCCUAUUGUUAGUUGCCAUCAUUCAGUUGGGCACUCUAGCGAGACUGCCGGUAAUAAACCGGAGGAAGGUGGGGAUGACGUCAAAUCAUCAUGCCCCUUAUGACCUGGGCUACACACGUGCUACAAUGGUUGGUACAACGAGUUGCGAGUCGGUGACGGCAAGCUAAUCUCUUAAAGCCAAUCUCAGUUCGGAUUGUAGGCUGCAACUCGCCUACAUGAAGUCGGAAUCGCUAGUAAUCGCGGAUCAGCACGCCGCGGUGAAUACGUUCCCGGGCCUUGUACACACCGCCCGUCACACCACGAGAGUUUGUAACACCCGAAGUCGGUGAGGUAACCUUUUGGAGCCAGCCGCCUAAGGUGGGAUAGAUGAUUGGGGUGAAGUCGUAACAAGGUA